UACGUAGGGGGCAAGCGUUAUCCGGAUUUACUGGGUGUAAAGGGAGCGUAGGUGGCAAGGCAAGUCAGAUGUGAAAACCCGGGGCUCAACUCCGGGACUGCUUUUGAAACUGCGUUGCUAGAUUGCGGGAGAGGCAAGUGGAAUUCCUAGUGUAGCGGUGAAAUGCGUAGAUAUUAGGAGGAACACCAGUGGCGAAGGCGGCUUACUGGACUGUAACUGACGUUGAGGCUCGAAAGCGUGGGGAGCAAACAGG
rnacentral:rRNA from 1 species